UAAUUGAAGUUGUUCACUGGGAAUGAGAGAACUAUAAUGUGGCAAUUUAAUGCAGCAGGCUUACUGGCUAUCUCAUUUUGGCUUGAUAAAUUAAUUUUUGAAGUAAAAUUUGAAAGCUUGGCAAGCUGAUGGCUUGGAAUUAUUGCAGAUCAAGAGGUUCUGGAGAAUCAAAAUCAGAUGGAAAUGAGAUAUUUGGUAUUGACUGCAUUAGUGAUAGUCUUUGUUAGAAAUGUGAAAAUAUAUUAAUAUAAGUUUGUUGUAUGCAUCAUUUACAGCAUACACACUCACUACAGUGGAUUAACAUGUGUACAACUCUAUGCAUGACUAGAUUGAAUAAGAGUCCAUUUUUUCCACAUAAAAAGAUAAAAUAUUACAGCAAUUAUUUUUAUCACAAACUCUUUUGAUGUAGUUUGAAAUAACCGAUGUGUCUUUCUGGAAAUCAAAAUGGGUUUAUAUACCAUGAAUUACUUUUAAAACAAUAUUUAAAUCCAGACCUAAGAUGUAUAAUAUGUGGUUUGUAAUAUUAAGAAGGUUCUUUUUGUCUAUAACUUAUUUAAUAUUAUAAUGAUCACUGGAUUUUUUUAAUAAACAUGAUAUCAGUGACUGUUAACAAUGCUCAAGAUUUUGAAUGCUUGACAAAAGCAGUAGGUAUUUAGGUGAUUGGUAGACUAGUGGUAGAGUGUAGCUGUAUAGUUAUGAUGUCAUGAUAGGUAGACUAGUGGUAGAGUGUAGCUGUAUAGAGUUAUGAUGUCAUGAUAGGUAGACUAGUGGUAGAGUGUAGUUGUAUAGUUAUGAUGUCAUGAUAGGUAGACUAGUGGUAGAGUGUAGCUGUAUAGAGUUAUGAUGUCAUGAUAGGUAGACUAGUGGUAGAGUGUAGUUGUAUAGUUAUGAUGCCAUGAUAGGUAGACUAGUGGUUAUAUAGAGUUAUGAUGUCAUGAUAGGUAGACUAGUGGUAGAGUGUAGUUGUAUAUAGUUAUGAUGUCAUGAUAGGUAGACUAGUGGUAGAGUGUAGCUGUAUAGAGUUAUGAUGUCAUGAUAGGUAGACUAGUGGUAGAGUGUAGUUGUAUAGAGUUAUGAUGCCAUGAUAGGUAGACUAGUGGUAGAGUGUAGCUGUAUAGAGUUAUGAUGUCAUGAUAGGUAGACUAGUGGUAGAGUGUAGUUGUAUAGAGUUAUGAUGUCAUGAUAGGUAGACUAGUGGUAGAGUGUAGUUGUAUAGUUAUGAUGUCAUGAUAGGUAGACUAGUGGUAGAGUGUAGUUGUAUAGAGUUAUGAUGUCAUGAUAGGUAGACUAGUGGUAGAGUGUAGUUGUAUAGAGUUAUGAUGCCAUGAUAGGUAGACUAGUGGUAGAGUGUAGUUGUAUAGUUAUGAUGUCAUGAUAGGUAGACUAGUGGUAGAGUGUAGCUGUAUAAAGUUAUGAUGUCAUGAUAGGUAGACUAGUGGUAGAGUGUAGUUGUAUAGUUAUGAUGUCAUGAUAGGUAGACUAGUGGUAGAGUGUAGUUGUAUAGAGUUAUGAUGUCAUGAUAGGUAGAGUGUAGUUGUAUAAAGUUAUGAUGCCAUGAUAGGUUCACUAGCGGUAGAGUGUAGUUGUAUAGAGUUAUGAUGCCAUGAUAGGUAGACUAAUGGUAGAGUGUAGCUGUAUAGAGUUAUGAUGUCAUGAUAGGUAGAGUGUAGGUAGAGUGUAGCUGUAUAGAGUUAUGAUGUCAUGAUAGGUAGACUAGUGGUAGAGUGUAGUUGUAUAGUUAUGAUGUCAUGAUAGGUAGACUAGUGGUAGAGUGUAGUAGUAUAGAGUUAUGAUGUCAUGAUAGGUAGACUAGUGGUAGAGUGUAGCUGUAUAGAGUUAUGAUGUCAUGAUAGGUAGACUAGUGGUAGAGUGUAGUAGUAUAGAGUUAUGAUGUCAUGAUAGGUAGACUAGUGGUAGAGUGUAGUUGUAUAGUUAUGAUGUCAUGAUAGGUAGACUAGUGGUAGAGUGUAGUUGUAUAGUUAUGAUGUCAUGAUAGGUAGACUAGUGGUAGAGUGUAGUUGUAUAGAGUUAUGAUGUCAUGAUAGGUAGACUAGUGGUAGAGUGUAGUUGUAUAGAGUUAUGAUGUCAUGAUAGGUAGACUAGCGGUAGAGUGUAGUAGUAUAGAGUUAUGAUGUCAUGAUAGGUAGACUAGUGGUAGAGUGUAGUUGUAUAGAGUUAUGAUGUCAUGAUAGGUAGACUAGUGGUAGAGUGUAGUUGUAUAGUUAUGAUGUCUUGAUAGGUAGACUAGUGGUAGAGUGUAGUUGUAUAGAGUUAUGAUGUCAUGAUAGGUAGACUAGUGGUAGAGUGUAGUAGUAUAGAGUUAUGAUGUCAUGAUAGGUAGACUAGUGGUAGAGUGUAGUUGUAUAGUUAUGAUGUCUUGAUAGGUAGACUAGUGGUAGAGUGUAGUUGUAUAGAGUUAUGAUGUCAUGAUAGGUAGACUAGUGGUAGAGUGUAGUUGUAUAGAGUUAUGAUGUCAUGAUAGGUAGACUAGUGGUAGAGUGUAGUUGUAUAGAGUUAUGAUGUCAUGAUAGGUAGACUAGUGGUAGAGUGUAGUUGUAUAGAGUUAUGAUGCCAUGAUAGGUAGACUAGUGGUAGAGUGUAGCUGUAUAGAGUUAUGAUGUCAUGAUAGGUAGACUAGUGGUAGAGUGUAGUUGUAUAGAGUUAUGAUGUCAUGAUAGGUAGACUAGUGGUAGAGUGUAGUUGUAUAGAGUUAUGAUGCCAUGAUAGGUAGACUAGUGGUAG